AUGCUUACUUUGGCAGCACAUAUACUAAAAUUGAAACAUUACAGAGAAGAUUAGGUUGGCCCCUGUGCAAAGAUGACACGCAAAUUCAUGAAGCGCUCCAUAUUUUU
rnacentral:snRNA from 1 species